GAAAUGCGAUAAGUAAUGUGAAUUGCAGAAUUCAGUGAAUCAUCGAAUCUUUGAACGCACCUUGCGCUCCUUGGUAUUCCUUGGAGCAUGCCUGUUUGAGUAUCAUGAAAUCUUCAAAGUAAAUCUUUUGUUAACUCAAUUGGUUUCUACUUUGGUAUUGGAGGUCUUUGCAGCUUCACACCUGCUCCUCUUUGUUCAUUAGCUGGAUCUCAGUGUUAUGCUUGGUUCCACUCGGCGUGAUAAGUUAUCUAUCGCUGAGGACACUGUAAAAGGUGGCCAAGGUAAAUGCAGAUGAACCGCUUCUAAUAGUCCAUUGACUUGGACAAUACUUUUAUGAUCUGAUCUCAAAUCAGGUAGGGAUACCCGCUGAACUUAAGC
rnacentral:misc_RNA from 1 species